rnacentral:rRNA from 1 species
UGCGCAGGCGGGAAAUUAAGUCAGUGGUGAAAUCCUGCAGCUCAACUGUAGAAUUGCCAUUGAUACUGAUUUUCUUGAGUGCAGUUGAGGUGGGCGGAAUGUGUAAUGUAGCGGUGAAAUGCUUAGAUAUUACACAGAACACCGAUUGCGUAGGCAGCUCACUAAACUGUUACUGACGCUCAGGCACGAAAGCGUGGGGAGCGCACAGGAUUAGAUACCCUGGUAGUCC